rnacentral:rRNA from 1 species
CUCUUUUAGCAGGGAAGAAGCGAAAGUGACGGUACCUGCAGAAAAAGCGCCGGCUAACUACGUGCCAGCAGCCGCGGUAAUACGUAGGGCGCAAGCGUUAUCCGGAAUUAUUGGGCGUAAAGAGCUCGUAGGCGGUUUGUCGCGUCUGCUGUGAAAUCCCGAGGCUCAACCUCGGGUCUGCAGUGGGUACGGGCAGACUAGAGUGCGGUAGGGGAGAUUGGAAUUCCUGGUGUAGCGGUGGAAUGCGCAGAUAUCAGGAGGAACACCGAUGGCGAAGGCAGAUCUCUGGGCCGUAACUGACGCUGAGGAGCGAAAGGGUGGGGAGCAAACAGGCUUAGAUACCCUGGUAGUCCACCCCGUAAACGUUGGGAACUAGUUGUGGGGACCAUUCCACGGUUUCCGUGACGCAGCUAACGCAUUAAGUUCCCCGCCUGGGGAGUACGGCCGCAAGGCUAAAACUCAAAGGAAUUGACGGGGACCCGCACAAGCGGCGGAGCAUGCGGAUUAAUUCGAUGCAACGCGAAGAACCUUACCAAGGCUUGACAUAUACGAGAACGGGCCAGAAAUGGUCAACUCUUUGGACACUCGUAAACAGGUGGUGCAUGGUUGUCGUCAGCUCGUGUCGUGAGAUGUUGGGUUAAGUCCCGCAACGAGCGCAACCCUCGUUCUAUGUUGCCAGCACGUAAUGGUGGGAACUCAUGGGAUACUGCCGGGGUCAACUCGGAGGAAGGUGGGGAUGACGUCAAAUCAUCAUGCCCCUUAUGUCUUGGGCUUCACGCAUGCUACAAUGGCCGGUACAAAGGGCUGCAAUACCGUGAGGUGGAGCGAAUCCCAAAAAGCCGGUCCCAGUUCGGAUUGAGGUCUGCAACUCGACCUCAUGAAGUCGGAGUCGCUAGUAAUCGCAGAUCAGCAACGCUGCGGUGAAUACGUUCCCGGGUCUUGUACACACCGCCCGUCAAGUCAUGAAAGUCG